AACGAACGCUGGCGGCAGGCUUAACACAUGCAAGUCGAACGCAUCCUUCGGGGUGAGUGGCAGACGGGUGAGUAACGCGUGGGAACGUGCCCUUCAGUUCGGGAUAACCCAGGGAAACUUGGGCUAAUACCGGAUACGUGCGAGAGCAGAAAGAUUUAUCGCUGAAGGAUCGGCCCGCGUCUGAUGCGCUAGUGGGAGGGGUAAUGGCCCACCAAGGCGACGAUCAGUAGCUGGUCUGAGAGCAUGAUCAGCCACAUUGGGACUGAGACACGGCCCAAACUCCGACGGGAGACAGCAGUGGGGAAUAUUGGACAAUGGGCGCAAGCCUGAUCCAGCCAUGCCGCGUGAGUGAUGAAGGCCUUAGGGUUGUAAAGCUCUUUCGUCCGGGACGAUAAUGACGGUACCGGAAGAAGAAGCCCCGGCUAACUUCGUGCCAGCCGCCGCAGUAA
rnacentral:rRNA from 1 species